UGGAAGUGGCGCGUGCUAUACAUGCAAGUCGAACGAACUCUGGUAUUGAUUGGUGCUUGCAUCAUGAUUUACAUUUGAGUGAGUGGCGAACUGGUGAGUAACACGUGGGAAACCUGCCCAGAAGCGGGGGAUAACACCUGGAAACAGAUGCUAAUACCGCAUAACAACUUGGACCGCAUGGUCCGAGCUUGAAAGAUGGCUUCGGCUAUCACUUUUGGAUGGUCCCGCGGCGUAUUAGCUAGAUGGUGGGGUAACGGCUCACCAUGGCAAUGAUACGUAGCCGACCUGAGAGGGUAAUCGGCCACAUUGGGACUGAGACACGGCCCAAACUCCUACGGGAGGCAGCAGUAGGGAAUCUUCCACAAUGGACGAAAGUCUGAUGGAGCAACGCCGCGUGAGUGAAGAAGGGUUUCGGCUCGUAAAACUCUGUUGUUAAAGAAGAACAUAUCUGAGAGUAACUGUUCAGGUAUUGACGGUAUUUAACCAGAAAGCCACGGCUAACUACGUGCCAGCAGCCGCGGUAAUACGUAGGUGGCAAGCGUUGUCCGGAUUUAUUGGGCGUAAAGCGAGCGCAGGCGGUUUUUUAAGUCUGAUGUGAAAGCCUUCGGCUCAACCGAAGAAGUGCAUCGGAAACUGGGAAACUUGAGUGCAGAAGAGGACAGUGGAACUCCAUGUGUAGCGGUGAAAUGCGUAGAUAUAUGGAAGAACACCAGUGGCGAAGGCGGCUGUCUGGUCUGUAACUGACGCUGAGGCUCGAAAGUAUGGGUAGCAAACAGGAUUAGAUACCCUGGUAGUCCAUACCGUAAACGAUGAAUGCUAAGUGUUGGAGGGUUUCCGCCCUUCAGUGCUGCAGCUAACGCAUUAAGCAUUCCGCCUGGGGAGUACGGCCGCAAGGCUGAAACUCAAAGGAAUUGACGGGGGCCCGCACAAGCGGUGGAGCAUGUGGUUUAAUUCGAAGCUACGCGAAGAACCUUACCAGGUCUUGACAUACUAUGCAAAUCUAAGAGAUUAGACGUUCCCUUCGGGGACAUGGAUACAGGUGGUGCAUGGUGUCGUCAGCUCGUGUCGUGAGAUGUUGGGUUAAGUCCCGCACGAGCGCACCCUUAUUAUCAGUUGCCAGCAUUAAGUGGCACUCUGGUGAGACUGCCGGUGACAAACCGGAGGAAGGUGGGGGAUGGACGUCAAUCAUUCAUGCCCUUAUGACCUGGGCUUACACACCGGGGCUCCAUG
rnacentral:rRNA from 1 species